CAACUACUCCCUUUGUCCCAAAUUUCUUGUCUUAGAUUUGUUUAGAUACAGAUGUAUCUAAUACUAAAAUGUGACUUGAUACAUCCGUAUCUAGACAAAUCUAAGACAAGAAUUUUGGGACAGAAGGAGUACUUU
rnacentral:pre_miRNA from 1 species